rnacentral:rRNA from 1 species
UACGUAGGAGGCGAGCGUUGUCCGAAAUUACUGGGCGUAAAGAGCGCGUAGGCGGCGCGGUACGACCGCUGUGAAAGCCCCCAGCUCAACUGGGGAGGGUCAGCGGUAACGGCCGUGCUUUGAGUGCAGGAGAGGGAAGUGGAACUCCGGGAGUAGCGGUGAAAUGCGUAGAGACCCGGAGGAACACCAGUGGCGAAGGCGGCUUCCUGGUCUGCGACUGACGCUGUGGCGCGAAAGCUAGGGGAGCAAACGGG